CAACAGCCGUUGUUUAUUAGAUCUUAUAUCCUACUUGGAUAACUGUGGUAAUUCUAGAGCUAAUACAUGCAACAAUACCCAGACCUCACGGAAUGGGUGCACUUAUUAGACUAAAACCAAUCGGACUUCGGUCCGCCAAAUGGUGAAUCUGAAUAACUCAGCUGAUCGCAUGGUCUUUGCACCAGCGACAGAUCUUUCAAAUGUCUGUCCUAUCAACUUUCGAUGGUAGUUUACACGCCUACCAUGGUUGUUACGGGUAACGGAGAAUUUGGGUUCGACUCC
rnacentral:rRNA from 1 species